rnacentral:rRNA from 1 species
CACGUAGGAGGCGAGCGUUGUUCGGAAUUACUGGGCGUAAAGGGCGCGUAGGCGGUACUUCAAGUCAGGCGUGAAAGCCCCGGGCUCAACCUGGGAACCGCGCUUGAGACUGGAGAACUAGAGUUCGGGAGAGGAUGGUGGAAUUCCCAGUGUAGAGGUGAAAUUCGUAGAUAUUGGGAAGAACACCGAUGGCGAAGGCAGCCAUCUGGACCGACACUGACGCUGAGGCGCGAAAGCGUGGGGAGCAAACAGG